rnacentral:rRNA from 1 species
CUGGCGGCGUGCCUAACACAUGCAAGUCGAGCGGAGAUAAUGGGAGAUUCUCGGAUGAUCCCGCUAUCUUAGCGGCGGAUGGGUGAGUAACACGUGGGUAACCUGCCCUGCACAGGGGGAUAACAGCUGGAAACGGCUGUUAAUACCGCAUAUGCACACGCUGCCGCAUGGCAGGGGGUGGAAAGAUUUAUCGGUGCAGGAUGGGCCCGCGUCGGAUUAACUAGUUGGCAGGGUAACGGCCUACCAAGGUGAUGAUCCGUAGCCGACCUGAGAGGGUGACCGGCCACAUUGGGACUGAGACACGGCCCAAACUCCUACGGGAGGCAGCAGUGGGGGAUAUUGCACAAUGGGCGCAAGCCUGAUGCAGCGACGCCGCGUGAAGGAAGAAGUAUUUCGGUAUGUAAACUUCUAUCAGCGGGGAAGAAGAUGACGGUACCCGACUAAGAAGCCCCGGCUAACUACGUGCCAGCAGCCGC